rnacentral:rRNA from 1 species
AAUCGGCCACAUUGGGACUGAGACACGGCCCAAACUCCUACGGGAGGCAGCAGUAGGGAAUCUUCCACAAUGGACGAAAGUCUGAUGGAGCAACGCCGCGUGAGUGAAGAAGGGUUUCGGCUCGUAAAACUCUGUUGUUAAAGAAGAACAUAUCUGAGAGUAACUGUUCAGGUAUUGACGGUAUUUAACCAGAAAGCCACGGCUAACUACGUGCCAGCAGCCGCGGUAAUACGUAGGUGGCAAGCGUUGUCCGGAUUUAUUGGGCGUAAAGCGAGCGCAGGCGGUUUUUUAAGUCUGAUGUGAAAGCCUUCGGCUCAACCGAAGAAGUGCAUCGGAAACUGGGAAACUUGAGUGCAGAAGAGGACAGUGGAACUCCAUGUGUAGCGGUGAAAUGCGUAGAUAUAUGGAAGAACACCAGUGGCGAAGGCGGCUGUCUGGUCUGUAACUGACGCUGAGGCUCGAAAGUAUGGGUAGCAAACAGGAUUAGAUACCCUGGUAGUCCAUACCGUAAACGAUGAAUGCUAAGUGUUGGAGGGUUUCCGCCCUUCAGUGCUGCAGCUAACGCAUUAAGCAUUCCGCCUGGGGAGUACGGCCGCAAGGCUGAAACUCAAAGGAAUUGACGGGGGCCCGCACAAGCGGUGGAGCAUGUGGUUUAAUUCGAAGCUACGCGAAGAACCUUACCAGGUCUUGACAUACUAUGCAAAUCUAAGAGAUUAGACGUUCCCUUCGGGGACAUGGAUACAGGUGGUGCAUGGUUGUCGUCAGCUCGUGUCGUGAGAUGUUGGGUUAAGUCCCGCAACGAGCGCAACCCUUAUUAUCAGUUGCCAGCAUUAAGUUGGGCACUCUGGUGAGACUGCCGGUGACAAACCGGAGGAAGGUGGGGAUGACGUCAAAUCAUCAUGCCCCUUAUGACCUGGGCUACACACGUGCUACAAUGGAUGGUACAACGAGUUGCGAACUCGCGAGAGUAAGCUAAUCUCUUAAAGCCAUUCUCAGUUCGGAUUGUAGGCUGCAACUCGCCUACAUGAAGUCGGAAUCGCUAGUAAUCGCGGAUCAGCAUGCCGCGGUGAAUACGUUCCCGGGCCUUGUACACACCGCCCGUCACACCAUGAGAGUUUGUAACACCCAAAGUCGGUGGGGUAACCUUUUAGGAACCAGCCGCCUAAGGUGGGACAGAUGAUUAGGGUGAAGUCGUAACAAGGU